AAUAGUUGUGAUGAACGGUUGGUUACUAGUUCAAAAGGUACUACCUAAAAGAGAGCAAAAUGAGUUGAAUCAGUUCUGUACCAAAAAGCUAACUACAGUUUUUGUCUGUAGUUUCUAUAUAUCAACACCUGAUUAUAGUCUAAUUCAAGUUGUAUCAUCUCUUAAUAUUUGAAGGUUUCCCAGCAUCAAAUCCUGAAAAUCGCACAAAACAUGUACGGUCAGACACUGAUAUAUAUCUUCCACAAUAUACCAUAGAUUUUUCGUCAUUGAAUGAAGUUUCGCAAUGAAAAAUUCUUACCAGGAGGUUUAA
rnacentral:lncRNA from 1 species